rnacentral:rRNA from 1 species
AACGAACGCUGGCGGCAGGCCUAACACAUGCAAGUCGAACGCUCGUAGCAAUACGGGAGUGGCGCACGGGUGAGUAACGCGUGGGCACCUGCCCGGUGGUCCGGAAUAACCGCGGGAAACUGCGGCUAAUACCGAAUACGCCCUUAGGGGGAAAGAUUUAUCGCCAUCGGAUGGGCCCGCGUAGGAUUAGCUAGUUGGUGAGGUAACGGCUCACCAAGGCGAAGAUCCUUAGCUGGUCUGAGAGGAUGAUCAGCCACACUGGGACUGAGACACGGCCCAGACUCCUACGGGAGGCAGCAGUGGGGAAUAUUGGACAAUGGGGGCAACCCUGAUCCAGCCAUGCCGCGUGAGUGAUGAAGGCCUUCGGGUUGUAAAGCUCUUUUGGCGGGGACGACGAUGACGGUACCCGCAGAAUAAGCCCCGGCUAACUUCGUGCCAGCCGCCGCCGUAACAC